GGCUCAGGAUGAACGCUAGCGGCAGGCUUAACACAUGCAAGUCGAGGGGCAGCAUGAGACGGAGAUUCGUCGAAGUCUUGAUGGCGACCGGCGCAAGGGUGCGUAACGCGUGAGCAACUUGCCCGUUUCUGGGGAAUAACCGGUGGAAACGCCGACUAAUACCCCAUAGUAUUGAGUUUAGGCAUCUUUACUCAAUUAAAGAAUUUCGGAAACGGAUAGGCUCGCGUGACAUUAGCUGGAUGGCGGGGUAACGGCCCACCAUGGCAACGAUGUCUAGGGGUUCUGAGAGGAAGGUCCCCCACACUGGAACUGAGACACGGUCCAGACUCCUACGGGAGGCAGCAGUGAGGAAUAUUGGUCAAUGGUCUGACGACUGAACCAGCCAUGCCGCGUGAAGGUCACGGCCCUAUGGGUCUUAAACUUCUUUUGUAAGGGAGCAAUAAGUCUCACGUGUGGGAUGAUGAGAGUACCUUACGAAUAAGCAUCGGCUAACUCCGUG
rnacentral:rRNA from 1 species